UACGGGGGGGCAAGCGUUGUUCGGAAUUACUGGGCGUAAAGGGCUCGUAGGCGGCCAACUAAGUCAGACGUGAAAUCCCUCGGCUUAACCGGGGAACUGCGUCUGAUACUGGAUGGCUUGAGUUUGGGAGAGGAGUGCGGAAUUCCAGGUGUAGCGGUGAAAUGCGUAGAGAUAUGGAGGAACACCAGUGGCGAAGGCGACUUUCUGGUCUGUAACUGACACUGAGGCGCGAAAGCGUGGGGAGCAAACAGG
rnacentral:rRNA from 1 species